rnacentral:rRNA from 1 species
CCUACGGGACGCAGCAGUGGGGAAUAUUGGGCAAUGGGCGCAAGCCUGACCCAGCAACGCCGCGUGAAGGAAGAAGGCUUUCGGGUUGUAAACUUCUUUUCUGAGGGACGAAGAAAGUGACGGUACCUCAGGAAUAAGCCACGGCUAACUACGUGCCAGCAGCCGCGGUAAUACGUAGGUGGCAAGCGUUAUCCGGAUUUAUUGGGUGUAAAGGGCGUGUAGGCGGGAAAGCAAGUCAGAUGUGAAAACUCAGGGCUCAACCCUGAGCCUGCAUUUGAAACUGUUUUUCUUGAGUGCUGGAGAGGCAAUCGGAAUUCCUGGUGUAGCGGUGAAAUGCGUAGAUAUCAGGAGGAACACCGGUGGCGAAGGCGGCCUGCUGGACAGUAACUGACGUUGAGGCUCGAAAGCGUGGGGAGCAAACAGGAUUAGAUACCCGGGUAGUC